rnacentral:rRNA from 1 species
UGGGGAAUUUUGGACAAUGGGCGAAAGCCUGAUCCAGCAAUGCCGCGUGUGUGAAGAAGGCCUUCGGGUUGUAAAGCACUUUUGUCCGGAAAGAAAUCCUUGGCUCUAAUACAGUCGGGGGAGUGACGGUACCGGAAGAAUAAGCACCGGCUAACUACGUGCCAGCAGCCGCGGUAAUACGUAGGGUGCAAGCGUUAAUCGGAAUUACUGGGCGUAAAGCGUGCGCAGGCGGUUUGCUAAGACCGAUGUGAAAUCCCCGGGCUCAACCUGGGAACUGCAUUGGUGACUGGCAGGCUAGAGUAUGGCAGAGGGGGGUGAAAUUCCACGUGUAGCAGUGAAAUGCGUAGAGAUGUGGAGGAAUACCGAUGG